CCGGAACUCGCGGGACAGAUGAAUGCACACUGAAGGAGCACGAAUAGCACUGCUCGUCCUGUUUUAGGUUUCGUAGAUGUUUGACUCGACCUGCUUUGUAUUAUACCGACGAUGGACCGCAAACGGAGCAAGGCACAGGCCGAGGCUAUGGCUGCAGAUCUCAGUGACGUCACUUCAAUGAAUCUGCUUGGCGUCGCCGAUGUAAAUCAGUGGAUAGAACUUGUGAAAGAUUACUCGGUGGCUGGAGAUCACACACAUGUCCUCUCUGAAUCUGAAGAUGGUGACGGUGAUGACGAUUAUGACAUGGAUCACUCAGUUAUCACAGAUGAAGUUGAGAUGAUUAUGAUUAGAGUGCGCAACGCGAUGGAACCGGGUUAUGACAAGGAGAUGGACAAAAUCCGUCAAUUUGAUUGCAAAUGCGGAGAGGGGCGGAAGGAAGACAACGAAGGAUCGUGCACAAAAAAGUUGUACCCAGACCGCAUCUACAAAUACAGGCGUAAUAUGGCAUCCUUAACACAGAGGUUGAGAGACAUUGCCAUUCUCGGAGUAUUAAAUACCAUCGCACCUAUACUUACCGUAGGUGCGAAGCCCCAGUGUUCCAAGACAGGUGAGCAGACUCAACGGAACCCCCAAACACUUCCAUACCUGGUUGGAGGUGUUCCAGUCUGCGAGGAAUCAUUUCUAUUCAUAUAUGGCAUCAGCAGAGAGCGUCUAAUAUUCCUCCACCGAUCCUACCAGGAGAACGGUACAAAGCCACCCACCUCACCAACUACCACUGGUCGUCCACAUAAUCCUGUAGCCCCUGCGGCUGCCACUGUCCGGCCACGCAAGCCCCGUGCUACUGCGAAGAAGAAAUAGCAAGUCUUGACCAGCAAAUGCAUAUGCUGGUUAGAUGACUGGAUGUCUGGACCACAUUUUCCCCCAGCCUGCAGUACCCAGCCAGACACUCUAGAGGGCAACACCGCUCACAGAUUCAGGCGUGGAACUACCGCAACAUCUCCC
rnacentral:lncRNA from 1 species